GAUCCCUCCUCUGAAAGGAAGGAGAAAAAAGAAAGAAUUCCUGUGUUUUGUAUUGAUGUUGAAAGAAAUGAUAGAAGAGCAGUUGGACACGAGCCUGAACAUUGGUCUGUCUAUAGAAGAUAUCUUGAAUUCUAUGUACUUGAAUCAAAACUAACAGAAUUUCAUGGUGCAUUUCCUGAUGCCCAGCUUCCUUCUAAGAGGAUCAUUGGCCCCAAAAAUUAUGAAUUCUUAAAGUCAAAGAGGGAAGAGUUCCAAGAAUAUCUACAGAAACUUCUGCAGCAUCCAGAACUGAGUAAUAGUCAACUUCUGGCAGACUUUCUUUCCCCUAAUGGUGGGGAAACACAAUUUCUUGAUAAGAUACUACCAGAUGUAAAUCUUGGGAAAAUUAUAAAAUCUGUUCCUGGAAAACUAAUGAAAGAGAAAGGUCAGCAUUUGGAACCUUUUAUCAUGAAUUUCAUUAAUUCUUGUGAGUCUCCAAAGCCUAAACCAAGUAGACCAGAACUGACCAUUCUCAGCCCUACUUCAGAAAACAACAAGAAGGUACUGCACAUUGCAUUAAAGAACUAUUAAGUUUUAAGUUGCCCUACUUGAGAUUACUUUUUCAUUGUCGAGAGAAUGAAUACUUUGUUAAUGAAAUGGAUUGAGCUAUACAUUUCCUUUAUGUGGAAAUCAGUUGAACGGUAUACAGAGGGUAUUGUGUGUAAUUACUUGGUUCUUUGCUUUAAUG
rnacentral:lncRNA from 1 species